UGAUAUUCCAGAGGUCCACGUAAUCGACAGGGUGAUCUACGCGUUCUUCUCAACUGGAUCUGUAAUAGGAGGCUUCGUGGGAUGCUUACUGGAUCACACUAUUCCAGGCACUGAGGAGGAGCGGGGCAUCCUGAAGAUGCGCGAGUGCUUCGACGAGGCCGGCGCACGAGCCAUGCUCGCGCGCGAUCCGCUUCGCCAUUGGCAGUUCUACAGCGUGCCGUGCUUCGAGAAGCUGCUACGGAAGUUUCCCGCGUUGCGCAAGCUGCCCGUGAUGCCCGAACGAGAGCCACACGUCUCGUACGUCGAGGACGAGUGAUGCUAUAAGGGCUGGAGCCCAUUCGUUAAAGACAAAAAGGAAAUAUGCUUAUAAGUUCUUGGUUUA